UUUACUAAUAUCAAUAAAACUCUUGCUGUAACAAUAGUAUACAGAUAACGUAAUUUGUUCUUUUUUUUUUAUUAUAUUUUUAACUCUCUGUCACCGUUUACAUUUUAUGGAUCGAAGAACAGCUUUUGAAUGGAUGAGCUCAAUUGAUUCUGUAUUUUGUUCUAGUCCAUCCCUGUUUUUCCUUUUUCUUCUAUAUCCACAACCCCACCACCAAACUAAAAAGAGAGAGAAAAGAAAAAUCAAGUAUUACCGUCUGGUUACAGAGGAUGAUCUAGGGUCGGGGAAUGAAGAAAGUAAACGCGGAAAUGGUAAUUCGUUUUGUAGGACUUAAUUUUUUUCAUUCUCUUUUUUAUUGAAUCCUGGUCGUAUUUCAUAUCCGUUUGGUGAUUUUCUAACCUUUCUCAGGUUGGAGAAGAACGGAAUUUGAUGAUGAAGAGAGGACAGAUUUACUCGUGCAGUCCCGAGCUUCGUGAGGUGAGGUCUGAAACUCGGGGAUAAAAUGAUUUUCGGUUAUAGGCUAUGACUCCUCUAUACACGUCCUUAUUUUCUCUGAUCCCCCUUAGGUUGAGAAUAAUGUCAACGAAUUCUUUGUUGCUCUUCUAAUGGUCUCUAAUGGAUCUUAUUUACUUGCAAUUGUUUUGGGGACCCUCGUAAUCAAUGCCAAGAUCUGGGCUUUGAGUCACCUUGGCGAUGAUGACAGCCAUUUUUUGAUAUGAAUUAGAAUUUGGUUAUUUGGUUCAUCAUCUAGAUUCUGUUGGGGCCUGGGGAUUUGCCAAUGAACACCCUCUUCUGCUCUCAGUGCUAUGAAUGUUCAUGUUCUAGAUGAUGCCAAAGAAUCGUUUUAAAAAUUUUUGUUUCGGUUAACACAAGCUUAAUAUUUUCAUGGAUUUAUUAUUAUAAUGCUUGAUGUCCCUAUUACGAUUAUACAGAUUCCAGACGCGUAUUAGGACUUUGGAUCACCGAUCUCCAUCAUAGGUAUGCACACUUGUUCCUAUUAUUUUCAUAAAAUAAAACCACAAAUAUUUCAAAGAUAAUUUUUGUCGCUUGAAAUUAAUCAACACGCUUCGGAUCGCUGCAUUUCUUUUCCAACCAGCCGCUGCUGCCCGCCUUGCAAGUAAAUCAACUUCAAUUGCAUUUGUUGCGGGAAGCUUUCAUUUUCACACACUGCAUAAUUUUCUCAUAUCAAUCUCCACCGCUUUCACCCUCUUCCAAAUUAAAAUUUUGGAAGUUUUUAUAUAUAUUUUUUAAUAGUAAUUUAAAUAAUAAUAUCACACAAACUCGAAUCUCUGUACUCUUAGCGCUUUUUAAGCUAGAGCGUUAAAUAGAUACAAGUGCCGAAAAAUAGAUCAGAUGCGUUGAUGGGUGCAUUUUUCUUAUCCCUAACCACUGGGGCAGACUCGGCUUUUGCAAUACUUACUGCGAAAAUGCUUCAAAAUUGUCGUUUCUGUGCCUGGAGGAUCCACACAGUAUCUGGGAAAUUGCACCAACAGGAGCUGUCUGUAAUUAAUUUCUUUUCUUGUAUGAAAGUGAAAUCUUUAAUUUGUCCUAUUUCUUCAAAUUUCAACCGAGUUUUGUAAAUUUUUGUGGUCCAACGCGUGGCAGUAGAAUAUUGAAGGCCAGUUGAUGUUGAUGAAAAAGUGAGUCGGAAACUUUGUUAGGGAAAAAAGGAAAUAAAAAUAAUAAUAAUAAUAA
rnacentral:misc_RNA from 1 species